GUGUGGAAGAAAAAAAUAAAAAAUGAGGUUUAUGAACGAUGAAAAGGACUAGAUUUUUGAUAUAAAAUUGAUAAUAGGUAUACUUUUCUUAGUUAUUGGAAGGAUUAGUCACGGGUUUCAAUUUGGCCUUUACUUCGACAACUGGUAACAAAAGAUAAAACACAGAGACAGAGAAUAAGCAACAAUUAAUAGUCAGUCUUAAGUCAUUCCUUUUUCAGGCUGAUUAUUUUUUUUUGGUUUGAAUGCUUCAUCAAUCUGUUUUUGCUCGAAAUGCGAUAC